GGAAUGAUUAACUGAAGGAGAGACAUAAAUGGCAGCGUCUUGAUCAAGGGAGCUUCUGUCAGGGUACCAUCUAGAUAAAUUAAAAAAUGAAUGCUCAGGUUGCUGUGAAGGAAGACUAAUGACAUUAAGUCAAGAUGAAAUAGAAAGGUACAGUACUACAGGCUGAAAAUCAUAAACUACCAGCCUGUCCUGGCGAGAAACCCUGAGAAACUUCCUGAGCUGGAAAGUAACUGGGAACAUUAAGGAAUGACUUUCUGUAGGGGCCUGAUCUUGAAGUUACUCAGGACUAAAGAUGUCCUGGACCACAAUAGUCACUUUUUCAAAGCUUUCAAGACUGGUCAAGGAAUAUUCUGGAAGUAUCUGAAACAGCAGGUGUUAAUAACAGCUCUACGUACUACAGGUGCUGUGCAUCUGAUGUGCUUUCUGUACUUAAUGGGAAUCCAGCCUUUCUCCUAAAUGUGAAAUGUGGUCCCUCCAAUCCAGAGGCAAGCAGACCGUGGAUAACAGGAAAAUGUAAAAACUACAGCCAGUAAAUGUUUAUAUAAUUCAGUGAAUUUAUUUACAAGAAAGCAGGAAAAACAGGAAUGGCAGUACCCUGAAAGGAGUGGAGAUCCUAGCUGAAAGCACGGGGAAACCUUGUAAGCAAGCUGAACGUGUUUGUGCAAAAAGACAUUUCUCAGGAGUGUUUGCAUUGCAAGUGACAUCUGGCUGACAGGAACUUGGAGAAAUGGGAUGCGAAGUGAAUGCUGCAGUUACCACAGCAUUAUAUUUAUCAAAAGGUUUAAGACAUCAUGUCGGGCUGAAAUUCUAAGGAGACACUCCCUAUGAUUCAUGGGAGAGGAAGAAGAAAUAAAAGUUAUUCCACUACUGCAUGGAGAGAGUCCUAACUGCAGUUGUGCAGCACUGCUGAUAACAGGCCAAAACAGCAUCCUGUCAGGAUACUGCUGGAGUACUUUGUUUGACUCGUCAAAACUUCAGACGGAUUCACUGCAUUGUCUGGACACUGGAGAUCCAGUUCAGAUUUCUACCCUGACUGAGGUCACCAGACCCAUGAGUGCAUUACUCAUGUCAAGGAGGAGUCUUACCGAGCUGCUGAUACAGUUGGACUGGCAGGAGAGGUGGAUUUUUAUAUAGAAGAUAGUACAGGAGGCAGAGAAUCUACAGCACAGGUAAGUCACUCAGCUGAUGAUAUUUACAAAUUUUGACAAAAAGUAUUGCAUUUAAUGUGCAAUAAACAAUUUGCAGUUCAAGAAAGCA
rnacentral:lncRNA from 1 species